GACAGAACAAAUUCUUACCUGUCUGUAUAAAGAGGGGCACAUCUGCCAGCCAGUAGGCACAGAUAUCAGCACCUACUGUCAAUCACAUACUUUGCUCUCUCUUACAAGUCUUUUGACUCUGAAUAAAGCAUCAGGAUGAAGUGUGCUGCUCUCUUUCUGGUGUUAUCAGUCAUCAUCUUCAUGGCUGAACCUGGAGUGGGUCAAGAGACCCACAUUGGACACGGUGGCAGUGGAAACAUCAAUGUUGGAGGAAAACAGCUUGAAAAGCGUCAAGUGGAACCAUACGAUGAAGACGAGCUGAAUCUUAAGUAUUCAUCGUGAACCUGUGACGGCUCGUCUGAAGGGACGUCUGAAGCUUUGAUCUUUCUGCAGCUAUGACCAUGAAUACCAGAUAUUCAAACGUUGCAUCUUGCUUGAACAAAUAAGGCUGAAUAAAAAAACAAUGUUAAAUUGCCCCAUUAAAGUGCAUGCAGCUUUUCUUUAAAUACAAUUUUUCAAAGAUUGUAUUGCAAUAAAUGAGCAUUCUAAAAGUUUCAUAAUA